rnacentral:rRNA from 1 species
AUUGAACGCUGGCGGCAUGCCUUACACAUGCAAGUCGAACGGUAACAGGUCUUCGGAUGCUGACGAGUGGCGAACGGGUGAGUAAUACAUCGGAACGUGCCCGAUCGUGGGGGAUAACGAAGCGAAAGCUUUGCUAAUACCGCAUAAGAUCCAAGGAUGAAAGCAGGGGACCGCAAGGCCUUGCGCGAACGGAGCGGCCGAUGGCAGAUUAGGUAGUUGGUGGGAUAAAAGCUUACCAAGCCGACGAUCUGUAGCUGGUCUGAGAGGACGACCAGCCACACUGGGACUGAGACACGGCCCAGACUCCUACGGGAGGCAGCAGUGGGGAAUUUUGGACAAUGGGCGAAAGCCUGAUCCAGCCAUGCCGCGUGCAGGAUGAAGGCCUUCGGGUUGUAAACUGCUUUUGUACGGAACGAAAAGACUCUGGUUAAUACCUGGGGUCCAUGACGGUACCGUAAGAAUAAGCACCGGCUAACUACGUGCCAGCCGCCGCGGUAA